rnacentral:rRNA from 1 species
GAAAGGCUUCGGCCGGACAGGGAUGGGCAUGCGGCGCAUUAGGCAGUAGGCGGGGUAACGGCCCACCUAACCGACGAUGCGUAGGGGUUCUGAGAGGAAGGUCCCCCACACUGGUACUGAGACACGGACCAGACUCCUACGGGAGGCAGCAGUGAGGAAUAUUGGUCAAUGGUCGGGAGACUGAACCAGCCAAGCCGCGUGAGGGAUGAAGGUACAGAGUAUCGUAAACCUCUUUUGUCAGGGAACAAAGGCGGGGACGUGUCCCCGGAUGAGUGUACCUGAAGAAAGAGCAUCGGCUAACUCCGUGCCAGCAGCCGCGGUAAUACGGAGGAUGCGAGCGUUAUCCGGAUUUAUUGGGUUUAAAGGGUGCGCAGGCGGUCUGUUAAGUCAGCGGUCAAAGCCCGGAGCUCAACCCCGGCCCGCCGUUGAAACUGGCAGUCUCGAGUUGGAGAGAAGUAUGCGGAAUGCGCGGUGUAGCGGUGAAAUGCAUAGAUAUCGCGCAGAACUCCGAUUGCGAAGGCAGCAUGCCGGCUCCACACUGACGCUGAGGCACGAAAGCGUGGGUAUCGAACAGGAUUAGAUACCCUGGUAGUCCACGCAGUAAACGAUGAAUGCUGGCUGUCCGGGGGGAUUGACCCCUGG